AGCUUUUACAUGAAGGCUUGAGUUCUGGUAAAGUGCUUACUUUAAUUAAGAUUAGACGAGACUGGUACCCUAAAACUCACAAGUUUCUAAAUUAAAGUUCCUUAUGGUGAUUUCAGUUGCUGGUUUUCAGAGAGCUAUGGGCCCUUCACAACUUUCAAAUCGAUUGGUGAUGCCAGGAUUCAAGUGCAAGUGAAGAAGCCCCACUUUGAAAUGCAUGGAAAAGACCAAAGAUAGAUACUAAUGGCAUACAAGUUUUUGGUCGUGUUGUAUGUGUUAUUUGACAAGCAGCCACUAUAAGAAAUUCUACUUUGUAAAGUCUAGGAAUUCCUUAAUUACUUAAAUCGGUUAUGAUUAUGGAU
rnacentral:lncRNA from 1 species